CACGUAGGGCGCAAGCGUUGUCCGGAAUUAUUGGGCGUAAAGAGCUCGUAGGCGGCCUGUUGCGUCCGCUGUGAAAACUCGGGGCUUAACCCCGAGCCUGCAGUGGAUACGGGCAGACUAGAGGUAGGUAGGGGAAAAUGGAAUUCCCGGUGUAGCGGUGAAAUGCGCAGAUAUCGGGAGGAACACCGGUGGCGAAGGCGGUUCUCUGGGCCUUACCUGACGCUGAGGAGCGAAAGCGUGGGGAGCAAACAGG
rnacentral:rRNA from 1 species